GAUGAACGCUGGCGGCGUGCUUAACACAUGCAAGUCGAACGGAAAGGCCCAACCUUUCUUGGGUACUCGAGUGGCGAACGGGUGAGUAACACGUGGGUGAUCUGCCCUGCACUUCGGGAUAACCCUGGGAAACUGGGUCUAAUACCGGAUAGGACCACUUGCUGGAUGUUGUGGUGGAAAGAUUUUUCGGGGUGGGAUGGGCUCGCGGCCUAUCUGCUUGUUUGUGGGGUGAGGGGCUACCAAGGCGUCGUCGGGUAUCCGGCCCGGGAGGGUGUACGGCCAAAAUGGGAAUUGGAAACGGGCCAGACUCCCAAGGGGGGGAGGAGGGGGGAAAUUUGGACAAAGGGGGCGAGGCCGAUGCAAGGAAGGCGGGGGGCGGAUGACCGGCCUCGGGGUGGAAACCCCCUUCGGCAGGGACGAAGCGGUGUGUGACGGUAAUGGGUGAAGAAGCACCGGCUAACUACGUG
rnacentral:rRNA from 1 species